AAUAAAUAAUAAUAAAUAAAAGUGGACGUAAUGGUGAAGUAAGAAAAAGUAAUUUAUUUUUUUUAGUUUGGAGUAUAAAUACAAAUAAAUAUUACUUUUUAAGAUUAGAAAGAUUAAUUUCGACUAAAAAAAAGCUUUUUAAAAAUUAGAUAGUUGGUUCGUUUGAUAGACAACCAAGUCGUAUUUUUAGUUGAUCUGAAAGGAUGUACAACCACAUUGGGGAUGAAGAACACCCAAAUUUUUUUCGGAAAUCAGCAGUGAGGAAUAUUGGACAAUGAGCGGAAGCUUGAUCCAGCAAGAUCCCGUGAGUGAAGAAGGAGUUUUUUGUAAAGUCGAAGAAAUGGUCCAUAGUUAGUUUUUGGGCGUUGUGUCUGUUUUAUAGCUCUUAUAAUGACGGUAGCUAUAUAUGAAAGCCCCGGCUAACUUCGUGCCAGCAGCCGCGGUAAUACGGAGGGGGCUAGUGUUACUCAUAUUGAUUCGGUGUAAAGGGU
rnacentral:rRNA from 1 species